AUGGUACUUCGAGGGCCACUGUCUUUAACGACAAGACUUGGGGUCUUAGGAGCUUGCCCCCCGGGUGCCCUGGUGGCCACUAUCCCAAGGCAGGCUUCCAGUUGGUUCGGGUGGAACGCGUUUCUUACACGGAGGGAAACCCUGGCACCGCCCUCACGGAGAUCUGCCUCACCCUUACCAACAGAUGAUUCCACGGCUCUGUUGUGUUUGUGUUGCCAUCGGGGCUCUCGUUCAUUGGCGCCCAGAGAAAGUCCGGACUGUUCCCUGGGUGUUGGAUGCCUGUGUCCGGAUCCAGCGCUCGUCUCCCUGCUCUCGGCUCCUCUGGUUCCCUGUGCUCCGUGCCCCUGCGUCCUCGGGCUUCCACUGGAGAUGAGGCCGAGGCCGAGAGUUCUAUGAGAUCAGCAACCAUUCCUGUUGUUUAUAUUGCUAACGGCACGUGGACCGCGGCUUGACAUGGCUAUUCUGAACAUUUCUACCUAAGUUAACCGGCCGUCCAGCCCACCUGGCAGCACCACAGAAUGGCAAAACAGUGUCUUUAUCUUUCUCAUUCAUCACCUUGUCUGCCUCUUCUUCUCUCAUUGCACCUCCUGGGGGCCCACUACAUACCCUAGCAAUGCCUAGGAGGGUACCGGGUCCGCGCCCGGAGUGCACGUGACGAAUGACCACAGUACAGGGCUACCGCAUGUACAUGAAGAGCCAUGGGAGGAAAGAGGAGGGAGACAGUACCCAUCCCGUGGCUCCCCGAGGAGGUGGCUCCAGAGACAACCUUCAGCACCUGUUCACAGAGAUAGAACACAGGUGGGAGGAGGCAUGUGGGGUAGGUGGUGGUUUCGUGCUGAAGACUUUGGACUUGAUCCUAACAUCAAAGUGAACCACGGAAGGAGCCGAGCCAUGGAGGGACUGUCACAUAUGGUGCCUAGAGAUGUCCCUCUGGCCUCUGGUUAGACAUGGAGGGUGGGACAUUUGUAGUCACCUCUGCUCCUCCCAGAGCCCCUCACAGAUGGUGGUAGAGAUGAUACAUGUGUGUCUCACACAGAAUGAAGGAACGAGACAAGAAAGCCGGAGGAGGGAGCAGUGAACCGAGUGUCGGGUGGCAGGAAGCAGACGGACAGGCAGCAGCGGGCCUUCCCUUAGUCUUCCGUGCAGUCACAGCCCCCAGCUGGGGCCCUGUCCAGCGCCCUUGGGAAUUCGAAUGACAGAAGGAGGUACUAAAAUGCCAACUGUAAAGUUUUUGUGAUUUGUGGGUGAGGGCCCAGCAGUGUCAGCAUCUAUAGGUCUUUGAAAGUGGUCUGUCUCUAGAGAGGAACUUUACAGGUAAGGAAACUGAGGCCCACAGAAGUCAAUCUCCCCAAGGCUCCAUAGUGUGACAGUGGAGCAGGGAUUCAGACCAGUGCCCGUAAAGACAUGAAAAGAUAAUCUCUUCUAAUUUUUAUCUUUAAACAUCUAUAAAUGAAAUAAUUAUGUAAAAAUCCCCCCUUUUGGAAUACUACUCAGCCAUCAAAAAAAUGAAAUCCAGGGGCGCCUGGGUGGCUCAGUUGGUUAAGUGACUGCCUUUGGUCAUGAUCCUGGAGUCCCUGGAGUCAGAUCAAUCAAGGAAAUGCAAAUUAAAAGGACAGUGAGAUACCAUCUUACACCCACCAGACGGGCAGAAAUGCUAAUAUGGCAGACCAGGUGCUCGAGACGGUGAGAAUUAAGAGACUCACUUCCUGCUGGGAGUGUCGGGGAACAUUUUAAAGGCAGUUUGGCUGCAUCUGCUAAAAUGGAUGAGUGUAAAACCCAGUGUAACCGGGAGACGUGACUAGAAUGUCCAUAGCAGCAUAGAGUUUAUAGUAACGAAGUCCGGAGACAACCCAGAUGUUUACCCACAGAACAGACACACAAAUCGCAGUAGAGUUGUGUGGUGGACUAUUAUGCGGCAGGAAAAAAGGAGUAAGCUGCUGUUGUACGAGUCGGAACGAAUACAUUUCUACAAACAGCGUCGAGAAAAAAGUUAUAGAUACAUGUGAUAACCAUUUAUUUAAAUUCAAACACAUCCGACAUGUAAGGACACACAUACGGAUGUGGUAAAACAGCUCAGCCCUCUCGGUAACGUCCUGUAUCCUAAGCGGGGCGGCCAGCACGCGGCUGCUAACAUUGUCAUCACUCCUUGUAGUUGAUCCAUAUGACAGAUCUGAAUGCUCAGGGGACUCACGGGGAGCCUGGCUCCCCUCACUGCUGCCAUCCUUCCUCAAAAAGGACAGAAGUUGGGAGGCUUGCCUACAAUUCUCUUUUAAAGGGGGAGUUUUUAAAUAAUGAUUUCAGUUAUAGAUUUUUAAAAGAUAAAAAUCAGAAGAGAUCCCGUUAGUGACAGGAACACCGGUGAGGCACAGGCAGGGAAAUCACGGCAGGGUGGUGGGCACAAAAGUAGACGUGGUGCCUGGCUUCUCACCCGUGAGAAUAGCCCACAGGCGCCUAACUGGCUCAGCUGAUAGAACAUGUGACUCUUGACCUCAGGGUCGUGAGUUUGAGCCCCACGUUGGGCAUAGGGCUUAUAUUGAGGAGGAGGAGAAGGAGGACCACUGACACCCUGCUAAAGCAUGCUGUCGGGGUUAAUUCACUAGUUCUAAUUGGGUUAUCAGGAUUAAAUGUUGAGUGAAAUGUAGUGUUGGGUUUAUUUAUCCUGUUGGGUUUUUUAAAGGUAUUCUCUGCGCCUAGUAUGGGGGCUUGAAGUCACGACCCCGAGAUCAAGAGUCCUAUGCUCCACCGACUGGGCCGGCCGGGCACCCCUGGCCUAUAUUUCAAGUGAAAUGCCAAGUUGCUGGAAGGGCUCUGAACGUAAAGGCGGGCAUGUCGUCUGCUGCUCAGAAUAAUUGUGAAGUCGCUGACAAAUUGUCCUUAUUGUGCAGCCCUUGGCAGCUUGAACUCUGAAGUUUGCCGUGUGAUCUGCCACGACAUAGUCGUUGGGACACACUUGUCUGCCCUACUUCAGGGAAGUUAUGAGGCUUUGCAGUGUGCAAGUUUCCCGUCCCUCACUGGGUGCUCAGUUCUGUUUAAUAAUGCACUUACACAACAGCUGGUCCGUCCUCCAGUGAAGGACUUUAGAACCAUACUAAGACAAGUGGAACCUGGUCCAGCUGUCCCUCCCUACCCCCAUUUUUCCAGAUGAGGAAACAGGCUUCAAGAGGAAGACCCUUGCCCCAAAAUCAGCAGAGGCUGACAGAAGAGGGACAAAGAAGCAGACAUGUCCUCUCCCUGGGGCUCUUAAAGGAGUGGCCUUUUCCAGGUAGGUGAAAGGGAAGGGCAUGGGCCAAGGUGUGAAGGAGCAGGAUGCUGGGGGGCAAGAGGGGACACUUUAUUGUGGGGUUUGGAGGUGAGGGGAGAAGCAGCAGGACCAGCUUUUGGAGAGCCUGGUGAGCCCAGCUCAGGACCCAAAAAUGACAGCAACCCCUUUCGUGGCAAGGUGGCCAGACCAAGGUGCUCACUGCCUGGUCAACUGGCCACAUGGGCAGAAUCCUAACUGACCGGCAGAUGCCCCCUGCCUCAGUACAGACAAAAAGGAACUGUCAGCUGGGGACAUCACACCCGCUCAUUCCCCCACCUCAAUCAGAAUCAAUAGUCCCUCUGGGUCAGCUGGGCCUGUUCUUCCACUGGCUGAACAAGACGCUGCAUCCAGGUGGGGGUCAGACUAAAGGGCUUUGUCCUUGUGACAGCCCCCGUGACAGCCGGGAUGAAGAAGGGAGCAGGGAGGGUAGGCCCACUCCACCACCCUCAUGGCCCAAGAGAGAUCCAGGGGAGGUCGAGAAGAGGAGCGGGGAAGGCUGGGCAUGCUAACUCUCCCUGUUAGCACUCAGAUGAUUCCAGUUUUGGCUUUUUUAACCUUCCUGCCUUUCUUCCUAUAUGAGGUUUUAGCAGUGAAAUACAUUUUUUUUUUUUAAUUUCCAAAAAUUGCCUCCCAUUUUCUUCUAGACCGUGUUUCCUCCCUACUCACCGAAAGGCUGGAAGCUUUGCCGUGGACUUUUCAGGGCGAGACAUUAAUGGUGGUGAUCUAGACUGGAUCUCACAUAAUUCUCUCCUAAUUCUCCCGUUCACAAGAAAUAAACAAACAUGAAAUCCCUGAACA
rnacentral:lncRNA from 1 species